rnacentral:misc_RNA from 1 species
AACGCACAUUGCGCCCGCUAGUAUUCUGGCGGGCAUGCCUGUUCGAGCGUCAUUUCAACCAUCAAGCCCCCGGCUUGCGUUGGAGCCCUGCGGCUGCCGCAGGCUCCCAAAUCCAGUGGCGGGCUCGUCGUCGUACCGAGUGCAGUAAACAUCCUCGCUCAGGGAACGCGUCGGGUUCUUGCCGUGAAACACCCCCCCACAUCAAGGUUGACCUCGGAUCAGGUAGGAAUACCCGCUGAACUUAA